rnacentral:rRNA from 1 species
UAGGGAAUCUUCCGCAAUGGGCGAAAGCCUGACGGAGCAACGCCGCGUGAGUGAUGAAGGUCUUCGGAUCGUAAAACUCUGUUAUUAGGGAAGAAUAAAUGUGUAAGUAACUAUGCACGUCUUGACGGUACUUAACCAGAAAGGGACGGCUAACUACGUGCCAGCAGCCGCGGUAAUACGUAGGUCCCGAGCGUUGUCCGGAUUUAUUGGGCGUAAAGCGAGCGCAGGCGGUUAGAAAAGUCUGAAGUGAAAGGCAGUGGCUCAACCAUUGUAGGCUUUGGAAACUGUUUAACUUGAGUGCAGAAGGGGAGAGUGGAAUUCCAUGUGUAGCGGUGAAAUGCGUAGAUAUAUGGAGGAACACCGGUGGCGAAAGCGGCUCUCUGGUCUGUAACUGACGCUGAGGCUCGAAAGCGUGGGGAGCGAACAGG